GCUAAUGGAGCACUCUAGAAAACUCUAGGAACAAAGUGCUCUCUACUUGCUAAUAGAGCACUUUAGUGAGUUCUAGAAGCAAGUACUCUAGAAUAUUCUAGAGUGCUUAUGUAGGUAGGUUGGAGGCCUAUAAAUAGGUGUGAGGCCUCCACACCAAGUGUGCAAGAGUGAGAUUGAAGAGUAAGAUAUAGUGAAGAAAGGGUGUGAGUGGUGGCGUGAGGUGAGGAAGUGUUGUGAGGUGUAGUGAAGUAGUGAAGUGAGUGUGUGAGGUUUGUUUGUAGUCUUAUGGGUGUAUGUGAAUGAGAGUUAUUUUGUGUGUAAUAAAGAGAGUUUUAUUAUUAGUCUGAUACGCCAAUAUUCUACAAUUUAUUUGGUAUCAGAGCCAGAUUGUAGAAAAUAUUCUGCUAGUUAAAUCGGUGAUAUUCUGCUAGUCCAGGCAGUUAAAUACCGAUAUAAGUAGAGAUUCUGCUGAUGUACAGUCUGGGAUUGUGAAGUUGGUUGGUCUGGGACCAGACUUACUUGGUUGACUGCUGGGCAAUCACCAAGUCACUAUGACAGAUCUUGUUGGUACAACUAGCGGAAUUAAGAAGCUAAAUAACCAUAAUUAUAGUUAUUGGCAAACCUGCAUUGAGUCCUACCUACAAGGGCAGGACUUGUGGGAGGUAAUCGGUGGUGCUGAAACAACUCCACCACCGAAGGAGAAUGCAGAAGUGUUCAGAAAGUGGCAUAUCAAGGCAGGGAAGGCAAUGUUCGUUCUGAAGACAACAAUUGAAGAAGAGCUGCUGGAGCAUAUCAAAGAAGCAGAUACACUCAAGGCUGCAUGGGACACCCUCGCCUCGUUAUUUUCAAAGAAGAACGAUGCUCGACUUCAACUUCUGGAGAAUGAGCUGAUGACGAUAUCUCAGGGCAGCAUGACGAUUAGCCAGUACUUCAUGAAGGUAAAAUCUCUCUGCCGUGAAAUUUCCCAAUUAGAUCUAGAGUCAAAAAUUAGUGACCAGCGGAUGAAGAGAAUUAUUAUUCACAGUCUAAAACCCGAAUAUAACGGGUUCAUUACUGCUAUUCGAGGCUGGCCCACUCAACCAACGUUGGUGAAACUAGAAAAUUUACCAGCUAAUCAGGAGACUCUAGCCAAACAGAUGGUUGGAGUCCCACUGAAAACUGAAGAGGAGGCACUCUUCAGCAGUAGAAGAAAAGGUCGAGCAACAGGAGGGCCAAGAAAUUUGAAGCUGCCGAAGGAGUUCGAUGGGUUAAAACAAAGGUCGGGAGAGAGCCACCUUACAGGGGGAGUCUACAACCAGAUAGAGCAAAAUACCUGGCAGUUUAAAGGCGACAGACGACGAAGCGGAGAGUGUUACAAUUGCGGCAAGAAAGGACACUUCGCCCGAGACUGUUGGCACAAGAAGAAACAAGUACAAGGCAAUAUGGCAAAGUCAGGUGACCACCAAGUAGCAUACAAAAGUGAAGAAGAGUGGGAUGCUCAAGCCUCCUUCGUCAUCAUGGAGUCAGAAAAAAGCUGCCACUCAGACAAGGAGGAGGCUCUCGAAGAACAAAGGUCAGAAGACACUGCUGCAGAGGAAAUGACGCUAGGUGCUAAGAAGGAAAAGCUACUAAAAUAGGUACCAGUAUAUGCACUCACAACAAUAGAAAAUCCAAGAGAGGAGAAUUACAAUACAGAUUGGAUCAUUGAUUCUGGAUGUUCCAAUCAUAUAACCGGUAAUAGAGACAAGCUGCUCAGCACAACAAAAUAUAAAGGAGGAAAAGUAGUGGUGACAGCUAACAACUCGAAGCUGCCAAUCACUCAUAUAGGAAAGACAAUCAUCACACCCAGAUUCAGCCCACAUCAAGUACAACUACAGAACGUCUACCAUGUCCCAGGUAUGAAGAAAAAUCUCUUAUCAGUAUCACAACUAACUGCAUCGGGCAAUUAUGUAGUAUUUGGGCCACAAGAUGUCAAGGUAUUUCGCAAUCCGAAGAUAUCUGGUAUACAAAUCAUGGAAGGAAAGAAAGUAGAGUCUAUAUACAUAAUGUCUGUAGAAUCAACAUACGUAGAAAAGACUCGAAAAAGUGAGACUGCUGAUUUGUGGCAUACAAGACUGGGACAUGUGGGCUAUCACAAACUGAAAAUCAUGAUGGAGCGCAGUAUGCUUAAGGGCUUACCUCAACUUGAAGUACGAGGAGACACAAUCUACGCAGGAUGCCAGUUUGGUAAGGCUCAUCAACUUCCCUACAUUGAAUCCAAAUAUAGAGCCAAGGUACCGCUCGAGCUCGUGCACUCUGAUGUUUUUGGACCAGUCAAGCAAACAUCAAUUAGCGGCAUGUGCUACAUGGUGACGUUUAUUGACGACUACUCAAGGUACAUCUGGGUAUACUUUAUUAAAGAAAAAUCUAAAGUGCUGCAAAAAUUUAAAGAAUUUAAAGAAAAAGCUGAAGGUCAAACCGGUUAUAAAAUACGAUGCAUGCGCACGGAUAAUGAAGGUGAAUAUACCUCAGCAGAGUUCUCAGCUUAUCUGCGAGAGUGCAAAAUAAGGAGACAGCUUACGUGUCCACGCACCCCGCAACAAAAUGGUAUAGCUGAAAGAAAGAAUAGACAUCUAACAGAAACUUGCAGAAGCAUGCUGCAUGCAAAGAAUGUGCCAGGUAGAUUUUGGGCAGAAUGUAUGAGAACAGCAGCACAUGUCAUCAACCGGCUGCCGCAAUCGAAGUUAGGAUUCAUCUCACCCUAUCAAGUACUGUGGAAAAUCAAACCCACAGUAAGUCAUUUUCGAGUCUUCGGAUGUGUGUGCUGUGUGUUCAUACCGGACCAUCUUCGAAGUAAAUUCGACAAGAAGGCGAUACGAUGUAUCUUCGUCGGGUACGACAGUGAAAGAAAAGGGUGGAGAUGCUGUGAACCAACAACCGAUCAUUGUUACACGUCGAGAAAUGUCGUGUUCGAUGAAGCGUCGUCCUGGUGGUCCUCACAAGAAGUUAUACUGUCAGACUCUGAAGAAAUAGAAAUCAAGCUACAAGAAAAGCUUGGAGAGCAAGUACAAGAAGAAAAGAAGACGACGUCAGAGCAAGAAGAAAGUGGUCAACCUUCUACGGAGUCAACCAGUGACGAGCAGCAACUCCAGAAGUCUCCAGAACCUUGGCGAACUGACGUGCAUUAUCAAACCCCAGAAGAAUAUCGGCCAAGCCAGCUUGAAGACAUAGGUAUGCAGUUACGAAGAUCCUCUAGGCAAAAAAAACCUAAUCCUAAGUAUGCAAAUGUUGCUAUCGCCGAAGAAGAAGAGACUCCAAAAGAACCGGCCUCUUACGAAGAAGCAGUUACAAGCAAGGAGUAGAGGAACGCGAUGGACGAAGAGAUCCAGGUGCUGAGCCAGAAUCAAAACAGAAGAGCAAGUAGCCAACAUAUUCACCAAAGGACUAAGCACCGCAAAGUUCGAAGAGUUCCGGAAGCAAUUAGGAAUGCUCAGCAGAGCAACAUUAAGAGAGAGUUAGAGUUAAGGGGGAGUAUUAAAGAGGCAACUCUCUCUCUCUCUUUAAUAGAACAUUCUAGAAAGCUCUAUCCCUUUCCAAUUCUCUACUAACUAAUGGAGCACUCUAGAAAAUUUUAGGAACAAAGUGCUCUCUACUUGCUAAUAGAGCACUUUAGUGAGUUCUAGAAGCAAGUACUCUAGAAUAUUCUAGAGUGCUUAUGUAGGUAGGUUGGAGGCCUAUAACUAGGUGUGAGGCCUCCACACCAAGUGUGCAAGAGUGAAAUUGAAGAGUGAGAUAUAGUGAAGAAAGGGUGUAAGUGGUGGUGUGAGGUGAGGAAGUGUUGUGAGGUGUAGUGAAGUAGUGAAGUGAGUGUGUGGGGUUUGUUUGUAGUCUUAUGGGUGUAUGCGAAUGAGAGUUAUUUUGUGUGUAAUAAAGAGAAUUUUAUUAUCAGUCUGGUACGCCAAUACUCUACACGUGACUUAUAGUUUCACUUACAUUAAUUUAUUUCUCCUACAUGUCAUG
rnacentral:lncRNA from 1 species